rnacentral:rRNA from 1 species
CCUACGGGGGGCAGCAGUGAGGAAUAUUGGUCAAUGGGCGCGAGCCUGAACCAGCCAAGUAGCGUGAAGGAUGACUGCCCUAUGGGUUGUAAACCUCUUUUGUCAGGGAGCAAUUGGCGCUACGUGUAGCGUUAUCGAGAGUACCUGAAGAAAAAGCAUCGGCUAACUCCGUGCCAGCAGCCGCGGUAAUACGGAGGAUGCGAGCGUUAUCCGGAUUUAUUGGGUUUAAAGGGUGCGUAGGCGGAUUUUUAAGUCAGCGGUAAAAUGUCCGGGCUCAACCCGGGCCGGCCGUUGAAACUGGGGAUCUUGAGUGGGCGAGAAGUAUGCGGAAUGCGUGGUGUAGCGGUGAAAUGCAUAGAUAUCACGAAGAACUCCGAUUGCGAAGGCAGCUUACUAAACUGCCACUGACAUUGAUGCUCGAAAGUGUGGGUAUCAAACAGGAUUAGAUACCCUUGUAGUC